rnacentral:rRNA from 1 species
UACGAAGGGGGCUAGCGUUGCUCGGAAUCACUGGGCGUAAAGGGUGCGUAGGCGGGUCUUUAAGUCAGGGGUGAAAUCCUGGAGCUCAACUCCAGAACUGCCUUUGAUACUGAGGAUCUUGAGUUCGGGAGAGGUGAGUGGAACUGCGAGUGUAGAGGUGAAAUUCGUAGAUAUUCGGAAGAACACCAGUGGCGAAGGCGGCUCACUGGACGCGUAUUGACGCUGAGGUACGAAAGCGUGGGGAGCAAACAGG